UGGGUAUACUACAACGCUUAGUUUGGAAAAAUGUGCUUUUGCAUAAUUUUGGUGUAUUUAUAAUGGGAACAAUAUUAAAUGCACUUAAAAACAACUUAAGAUAAACGUAACUCUGAGCUGCGUCCCGAGAUCCCGAGAUCCAGAGAGGUGUGUGCUAAACAGGAGUGGAAUGGAGGCAGGAAUUGGGCCGAGUGCUUCUGUAGGCAGAGGAAAACAGGACCAAACUACGAGACUCUGCUGAGCAACAACCAACCGUGGAAGCCAACUGAGAAAUGAGAAAUUGCAUCUGUCUACUCUGCUGCUCCUCCUCUUCCUCCUCCUCCUCCUCCUCCUCCUCCUCUUCUGUUCAGGUUGAAAAUGAUUAUAAAUUAUUGAUCCCCGGGGCAGAAUUGAGGUACGUUUUGCCCCCCAUCUCGAUUAUAUU